rnacentral:lncRNA from 1 species
GGAGCAGAUUAUUUAGUCUCCAUAUAGUCAGUUGUUUUUCUCAUUUCGUUUCCCAUGGCUGAUUUCUAGUUUCAUGCCAUUAUGGUCAGAGAAGAUGCUUGAAAUAAUUUCUACACUCUUAAAUUUGCUUGGGUUAGUUUUGUGCCCCAGUAUGUGGUCAAUUCUUCAGAAUGCUCCAUGAGCAUUUGAAACGAAUGUAUAUUGCAGGGUUUUUUGGAUGUAGUGUCCUAAAAAUAUCAAUUAAAUCUAUCUGUUCUAUUGUGUCAUUUAGGAUCUCUAUUACCUUAACGAUUUUCUGUCUAGAAGACGUGUCCAUUGAUGUGAUGCAAGAGUGGGGUGUUAAAGUCUCCUACUAUUAUUGUAAUCCUAUCAAUUUCUCCUUUUAUGUCUGUUAGUAUUUGUUUUAUGUAUUUGGAUGCUGCUAUAUUAGGGGCAUAUAUGUUGAUGAGUAUAAUAUCUCCUUAAAUUGAUCCUUUUAUGAUUAGUGUCCUUCUUCAUCUUUCUUUAUGGGCUUUGAUUUAAAUGUGUACGGACAUUUAAAACUUCAAUGUAUUCAUUUACAUCACUUCUUUUUCUUUAUGGCUUAUAUAUUUUCUUGUCUCAACUAGGAAAGAAAUUCCGUCUCUAAACUUUCUCCUAAAUGUCUUAAAUCCUUUCUUGACACAUUUUGGUUUUAAAUCCAUCUAUAAUUAACAUCUGAAUUAUGUGUAAAGGUAAGUAUCCAAUUUUGCUUCAUAUAUUUAGCCAAAGGACUACAUUCCUUUAGUGAUUUGCAAUGCUAACUAUAUCACCUAAUUUUUUAUGCAUGUGUGCAUUGUUUUCUGAAUAUCUAUUCAAUUCUAUUCAUCUAUUUGCUUUCUCACUUUAUUUGUGCUAAAAAUUAGCUACCUAUUCUUGGCAUUUUUCUCCUUUGAAUAAAAUUUUUGUAUUAGUUUUAUUCAUCUAGAUAGGUGAGAAUAUGAUUUACAAGCAAAAAAAAAAAAAAAUCCCCACAAAAAUUUUAGUUGCUUAAAAAAAGUUGUCUCUCCUCCAAGAAGUGAAUGAGGGAUUUAGGCUACUUCAUCUGUGACCUCAUGGCCAUUUCAGUGGAUUGAAGAUCACCUUGAUGUACAUCACUUUCAAUCAUGUUCUACUGGCUAGUGCUAAUCACUUAGCCAAACUAACUAUACAAGAAGCUGGAAAAUGUAGAGGUAAUUAUUAUUAUUAUUAUUAUAUUGUCUUUUAAGGGCCGCACCAGAAGCAUAUGGAAGUUCCCAGGCUAGGGGUUGAAUCAGAGCUAUAACCACUGGCCUAUGCCACAGCCCCAGCCAUGCCAGUCCUGAGCUGUGUCUACGACCUACACCAAAGCUCAUGGAAACGCCAGAUCCUUAACCCACUGAGGGAGGCCAGGGAUCGAACAUGCAACCUCAUAGUUCCUAGUUGGAUUUGUUUCCACUGCACCAUGAUGAGAACUCCCCCUCUUCCUGAUCCUUCUCAGGAAUCAGGUCACACUCUCUGGCCUCACCCUUAUCUCUCAAGCAAGUUCAUGGCCUCCUUCUAUCUUCUUCCUGAACACUAUAAGUGGCCUCCAUGUCAACAGCAUCACCUCUUCCUGGGGUCUGCCUAUGAAAUUCAGGCCCCCCUCUGAUGACUUCCACUUCUACCAGAAAGUGUGGUCCAGUGGGACUCUUCCAACAUAUGAAGCCAUCAAAUACAAAGGUAUAUUAGUUUUACACAGCUAUUAAUACCUAAAGUUCAAAUUCAAAUACAGUUAUCACAUGCAGCAACUAUGCAACUAACAACAUUGUUUCUAGGAAUAAAUUACUCAAAGAAGACAUUUGGAAGUAAAGGAGGUGCACUCUUUAUUUUUUUUUAAACUGUUAGGAUGACAGCUACCAAAUAAAUACUCAAGUCUAUUACAGUAGCCUGAAAGAAUUAAUUAUAUACCCCAAAUGUGAAAGUUACUGCUAGAAAAUAAAUUACACAGGAAACCCAGCUGGUCAGAUAUUUCUUCACAAAGGAAAUGUAUUUUGGGAAAAGUUUUAUUGUUGGGUGUGUAUGUGCAUAUGUGUGUAAGUGUGAGUGGGGUGUGAGUGGGGUAUAUGCGUGUGUGUUUGAAGAGUGUAGCAAAGGAAUGGAGGAGAGAUGGAUAAUCCCUCCCCAGAAAUGACUAUGUACUGCAAUCCUCACAGCAUAUUAAUUUUAUCUCCUGGUAAGCACCUGUACAAUAAGAAGCCACAAAAAUGUUAUCCUAUGCCUUUCCUGUAGUGAGGGUAAAUUUCAGUUAAAAUUAAAGGAUAAAUUAACCUCCAAUGAUAGUUUUAAGCUGGCCCUCGUGUAAUGCUGGUACCGUUCAACACUCUGGUCCUGCUCUAACCAGCCCUGGCUUCUCUACCUCCUAAUUCCUCCUAUGUAAGAAGGACCUGGAAGUUAAGGGGGAAAGUAAACCUUGGAGAACUGGAGGGGAACUAUGAAAGUCCUGUUGCAGCCACCUAGCCCUACAAGCUGAGGUGGCAAUUGGCUGGGCCUGCUGCGCCCAAUUCAGGAUAACUGUGAUGAUAUGGACCCUUGAGUGAAAAGGUUUAAAACUUUAAAAAUUAUUGUUCACCAUUUAUUGAUUUAAGGACAUCAGAAAGUACUACAAAGUUUGUAUCUACCAUGUCAGAGACUUUGUGGUAGCCUGUUAAAGAGCUAAACAAUAUUUUUAAAGAGAAUUAAUUACUAAAAAAAAUCCAUAUUUUAAAGGAGAUAAAGAAUGAACCUAGGAAAUGGAGACAUCUAACUUAACUUCUACACCUAUAAAAAGGACUAGAUAAAAUAAUCUCCAACCAAUUGUCGAGUACCUAAAAAAGAAUGAAACUGAGAAUAAUCAUCAACCUGUCUUGCUAGACUAAACCAAGCUAUUUUUAUGUAAGAAUGCCCUAGUCGGUCAAAAACUGGGCUUAUGGUACUGGAGGAGCCGCAGCUUCACAGAUUAAUUUGAAUGCUAAAUAAUUGUCUAGUCUGAUCAGCACCUUCGUUGAUGACCAAUAGAGCAAGUACCUUCUGGGUAGUAAACUAGUCUUUCUGGGUAAACCCUAAAAGAAUUACCAAGCAUGAAUCCCAAUUCUCAUCCCUUGGGAAAAUACAUGUAUUUUUUUUUAAGGACUCCACUUUAUGAUGUUCACUUUAAUAGAUCAGAUGGCCUAAAACAAAAGAUCUGAGUUGACAUGUAGAAAACUGCUUUAAUCUGUAAGUCACUACAACUGCAAAUUUGUGGAAGCAGAGCAAAACUCCUUCAGCCUUUCCUCUGGGGUUCUUAUCAAUGAGCUAGAGCAGGCUCUCCAUAUCUAUGGGUCUCACAUCUGUGGAUUAAACCAACUGUAGACAAAAAAAAAAAAUUGAAAAAAAGUUCCAGAAAGUUUCAAAAGGCAAAACUCAAAUUUGUCACAUACUGGCAACUAUCUACGUAGCAUUUUCAUUAUAUUAGGUAUUAUAAGUAAUCUGGAGAUAAUUUACAGUAUAUGGGUUGAGAAAAAGAAUGUAUAUAUGUAUGUGUGACUGGGUCACUUUGCUGUACAGUAGAAAAUUGAAAGAACACUGUAAACAAACUAUAAUAAAAAAAAUAAAAAUCAUU